AGGGAAUAGAUACCCAGGUAGUCCACGCAGUAAACGAUGCAGACUAGGCGUGGGGGGACUUGACCCCUUCCGUGCCGGAGCCAAACGCGGUAAGUCUGCCGCCUGGGGAGUACGGCCGCAAGGCUAAAACUCAAAGGAAUUGACGGGGGCCCGCACAAGCGGCGGAGCGUGCGGUUUAAUUCGACGCAACGCGCAGAACCUUACCAGGGCUUGACAUGCACCUGCAGGCUCAUGAAAGUGAGCGUCCUUGAGGUGGUGCACAGGUGCUGCAUGGCUGUCGUCAGCUCGCGUCGUGAGAUGUU
rnacentral:rRNA from 1 species